GGGAAUGGCUUGCUUAAGGGUCUUAAAGGCUGAUGGAUAUUUUAUUUAGCUCUAGGGGUUCUGAAAGAUCUCCUCGGGUGGCUUGAUAUAGGGGUUGUGCCAAGAGGGUGAAAUUAGGAAUCCGGAGGCGUAAAUAUCCAGCUAACCCCCAGAAGGACAGAAUCUGUUUCAAUGUAGGGAGUGGUAGGGUUGAUAUAAGGGACUUUCUAUUGGUAGUAAUAUAUCUUUUUGUUAGUGUUAAAAGGACUCCAAGAUAGGUGACUCUAGGACGAGAAAGCUGAACUUUAUGGGAGAUGUUCAGUAUCCUCGAUCGGCUAGAAAACUGAGGAGUUGUAUAGUGUGUUGUUGAGAGUGUAUAGACGAAGGACUACAAAGGAGGAGAUCGUCCACAUAUUGGAGGACAGUACUCAUAGUAAGGUCAAGAGAGGUUAGGUCUGAUGCUAGAACUUGGCCAAAGAAAUGAGGGCCAUCACAAAAGCCUUGUUGGAGGACUGUCCCUGUCAGCUGUUGGGAGCGAUGAUUGUCUGGAUCAGUCCAGAUAAAGGCAAAGAGGUCUUUAGAGUUUGGGUGCAAAGGGAUGGUAAAGAAGGCAUCCCUGAGGUGUAGGACAAUGAAGUGGGUAGUGGAAGAGGGAAUGAGAGAGAGAAGAGUAUAGGGAUUUGGAACUGCUGGAUGUAUGGGGAUAACAGUCACAUUGAUAAGUCUCAGGUCCUGGACCAGGUGAUAGGGGCCAUUUGGCUUUUUGUUGGGUAAGAUGGAGUGUUAUAGGGAGAGUGGCUUGGGGGCAAGAGGCCCUGAUAUAGCAGUUUAGUGAUGAUAGGCUUUAACCCUUGUUGAUGUUUUCGGGAGAUUGGGUAUUGUGGUUGAUUGGGGAAUUUAGGGGGGUUUUUGAGGCAGAUAUGAAUUGGAGCAUGGUGAGAGGUGACAGAUGGGUUGUCUGUAUCCCCGACUAUAGGAUUUAUGGAUGAGGAGGGCAAUGGGGCGGGGGAAGAGGAGGUGGGGUUGAGGAGCAGUAGCCAGGCUAGAUCAGAAGAUGGGCUUGGGAUGGUAAUAAGGGCUUUGAAUUUUGAGAGAUGGUCUCUCCAAGAAUAAGACUGGGGCAUUUGGGGAGUAUGAGCAAAGAAUGGGGAAAUGGGGUAUGUUGAAGUGUGCAAAGUAGAGGCUCGGUUAUUCAUGGCAUAGAUAUUAAACAGUCAUUCCCCAUAACAGAGACCUGAGAAACCUUGUUUUUUCCGGAUUAGGCAGGCACAGCAGAGCAAGUGGCCCCCGUGUUGAUGAGAAAAGGGAUCGGCUUACCUGCCACUGAGAGGCCUUUUGAAGGGCCCACAACGAGGCAAGCAACCAUGUGAUUACGGGCUGCUUGUCCAGGUCUCCCUGCCUGAUAAUCCCCGUUGGGAUCAUCUCUGGGGACAGCCGUUGCCCCUACGGGCUUAGUGUCGUAUCCCAGUCUACGUAUCCCAUCAGCACGCGCCUGAACGGCUUGCCAUACUCGUUCCUUCUCUUCUGGGAGAAGAGUGGAGGAAAGGAUGAUGUAAAUAUCAUGCCAGGUUAAGUUGUAAGACUGGGUAAGAUACUUGAAUUCUUUUAGAUAAUUAUUAGGGUCUGAAGAGAAGGAGCCAAGACGCUUUUCAAUUUGAGAUGGAUCGGUGAGGAAGAAUGGGACGUGAACCCGAACAAUGUCUUUCGCUCCCGCUACUUGCCAUAAAGGGAGAGGUGGAGCAGGCAAAGACUUCCUGCUGUCAAGUUUCUGGCUUUAACGUUGUUCCGACCGCUUAUCGGGAGGGGAUCUAGGGAGGUCAGGGAAGAGCCUUGGAACCCUCGGGGUAGAGGGUGGGGCUGAGGUCUCAGAGCUUGCAGCGGAGAGGGGUUGGGCGCUGAGGUGGCCUGCCCUUGAGCAGGAGGGAGGGAGGAGGAGUCGUAAGGUGGAGGUUGUGAAACUGGAUCUGGAGCGACUGCAAGGGAAUUGGGAGCGAGAGGGUGUGAGCUGUGGUCGGAAGGGUUGAAGGAAGAAGAAAAGUCUCAAACAGGAAUCGGGAGACAUUGUAUUAGGAGGAUGUGGCCCAGAGUGGGCUAAGAGUAUUUGAGAAGUAGAACAGGAUUCACAGAGGGAGAAUCUGAGCGCGAAGAGCAAAGAACGGCUGGACAUGAGGGAUCUCGGACCACUUUCGGUUGCGACGGCAGAAGGUACCGAGGUCCCAUAGAGUAUUAUAAUCGAGAGUUUUGUUAUCUGGCCAUUGGAACCUAUUAUCAAGUCUGUAUUGUGGCCUGACAGUGUUAAAAUAUUAAGAAGAAGGCUUGAGCUGAGGACCCCAGCACCAGGAGACGUGCAGGCUGGGUGACUGUUGCUCCCACGAUCCUCCAGGCUUUGAUCCCACUCAGGACUCUGGUCCCAGCUGAGACAAGCAGACAGGCGUGAUUUUCAAAGGGGCUCAGAAGUAAUAACUAAAAAGGGGCUCAAUGAAGGACACCCUGCCAGGCUGUCUGGACCCUAUCCCAGUCCAGCCUUGGGACUCAAGCCUUCUCAGGCUCCUGGGAUACCGUAGAAGCCCAAAUGGUGGGAAGGAAUAAAGUUAACUUUCUCUCCUUUCCUUUGACUUCAUGCCACUGCUAUGUAGGGGUACAGUCAAUCUGCCACGCUGUGCUUGUUAUCAGUGUAUAAUUGGCUGAUUCAGGUACGACGUAUCCAUGGAGUAUAUCUGGUCUUUUUUGGGUUCUUUUAACCCUAACCCUAACCC